rnacentral:rRNA from 1 species
UACGUAGGGGGCAAGCGUUGUCCGGAUUUAUUGGGCGUAAAGAGCGUGCAGGCGGUUCGGUAGGUCCGUUGUGAAAACUCGAGGCUCAACCUCGAGACGUCGAUGGAAACCAUCUAGCUAGAGUCCGGAAGAGGAGAGUGGAAUUCCUGGUGUAGCGGUGAAAUGCGCAGAUAUCAGGAGGAACACCCGUGGCGAAGGCGGCUCUCUGGUACGUGACUGACGCUGAGACGCGAAAGCGUGGGGAGCGAACAGG